UACGGGGGGGAGCAAGCGUUGUUCGGAUUUACUGGGCGUAAAGGGCGCGUAGGCGGCGCGGGCAGUCAACGGUGAAAGCUCGGGGCUCAACUCCGAGUCGGCCGUCGAUACUCCCGUGCUCGAGCACUGUAGAGGCAGGUGGAAUUCCGGGUGUAGCGGUGGAAUGCGUAGAGAUCCGGAAGAACACCGGUGGCGAAGGCGGCCUGCUGGGCAGUAGCUGACGCUGAGGCGCGACAGCGUGGGGAGCAAACAGG
rnacentral:rRNA from 1 species